CAAUAGCUACUUGCAUCAUACUAGAGAUGAUGCAAGAUCGACUAUGUCGAAUAAAAUUCUAGGUAGAAUUAUGAUAAUGACAUUGUCUGCCUAUGUGUCUUGACCAAAUUACGUGCCAGCAGUCGCGGUAAUACGUAGAAGACUAGUGUUAUUCAUGUUUAAUCGGUUUAAAGGGUACCUAGACGGUAAAUCAAGCCUAAAACUAAAAAAAAUAAAUGAAGGGACUAAUUUACUAGAGUUACUUAUGAGGGGGUAUUAAAGUACUGCUGGUGUAGAGAUGAAAUUCUGUCAUACCUCUUUUCAAUAGAAAAACAAUGGCACAGGUAUAGGCGAAGGCAUCCCCUUAUGUGAUAACUGACGUUGAGGGACGAAGGCUUUGUGUAGCGAACAGGAUUAGAUACCCCAGUAGUCAAAGCAGAAAAUGAUGAAUGUCAUAGAUUAGAUAUAUAAGUUUAUUCUAUAAAUGAAAGUGUAAGCAUUCCACCUCAAGAGUAAUUUGGCAACAUUGGAACUGAAAUCAUUAGACCGUUUCUGAAACCAGUAGUGAAGUAUGUUGUUUAAUUUGAUGAUCCGCAAAAAACCUUACCACAAUUUGAAUAUUUAUAUCUUUUAUUGUUUUUUCUUCUUCUUAUUAUUCAAUUAUUGAAGAAUAAGAAAAAUAGGCAAUAAG
rnacentral:rRNA from 1 species